AUACGAAAGGUGCAAGCGUUGUUCGGAUUUACUGGGCGUAAAGAGAGUGUAGGUUGUUUAUUAAGUCGGAUGUGAAAUCCCGGGGCUCAACCUCGGAACUGCAUUCGAUACUGAUAGGCUAGAGUUUGGGAGGGGUAAGCGGAAUUCCGUGUGUAGCAGUGAAAUGCGUAGAUAUACGGAGGAACACCUGAGGCGAAGGCGGCUUACUGGACCAAUACUGACACUGAGACUCGAAAGCGUGGGUAGCAAACAGGAUUAGAUACCCCAGUAGUCC
rnacentral:rRNA from 1 species